rnacentral:rRNA from 1 species
GGAAUCACUGGGCUUAAAGCGUGUGUAGGCGGAUCGUUAAGUGUCUUGUGAAAUCCCACGGCUCACCCGUGGAACUGCUGGGCAUACUGGCGAUCUUGGGCCAACUAGGGGCAGUCGGAACAAGCGGUGGAGCGGUGAAAUGCGUAGAUAUCCACAGGAACUCCGGUGGCGAAGGCGGCGUGCUGGACCUCUUCUGACGCUGAGGCGCGAAAGCCAGGGGAGCAAACGGG